CUAAUACCGGAUACUGAUCCGUCUGGGCAUCCAGACGGUUCGAAAGCUCCGGCGGUGCAGGAUGAGCCCGCGGCCUAUCAGCUUGUUGGUGAGGUAGUGGCUCACCAAGGCGACGACGGGUAGCCGGCCUGAGAGGGCGACCGGCCACACUGGGACUGAGACACGGCCCAGACUCCUACGGGAGGCAGCAGUGGGGAAUAUUGCACAAUGGGCGAAAGCCUGAUGCAGCGACGCCGCGUGAGGGAUGACGGCCUUCGGGUUGUAAACCUCUUUCAGCAGGGAAGAAGCGAAAGUGACGGUACCUGCAGAAGAAGCGCCGGCUAACUACGUGCCAGCAGCCGCGGUAAUACGUAGGGCGCGAGCGUUGUCCGGAAUUAUUGGGCGUAAAGAGCUCGUAGGCGGCUUGUCACGUCGGUUGUGAAAGCCCGGGGCUUAACCCCGGGUCUGCAGUCGAUACGGGCAGGCUAGAGUUCGGUAGGGGAGAUCGGAAUUCCUGGUGUAGCGGUGAAAUGCGCAGAUAUCAGGAGGAACACCGGUGGCGAAGGCGGAUCUCUGGGCCGAUACUGACGCUGAGGAGCGAAAGCGUGGGGAGCGAACAGGAUUAGAUACCCUGGUAGUCCACGCCGUAAACGGUGGGCACUAGGUGUGGGCAACAUUCCACGUUGUCCGUGCCGCAGCUAACGCAUUAAGUGCCCCGCCUGGGGAGUACGGCCGCAAGGCUAAAACUCAAAGGGAAUUGACGGGGGCCCGCACAAGCGGCGGAGCAUGUGGCUUAAUUUCGACGCAACGCGAAGAACCUUACCAAGGCUUGACAUACACCGGAAAACGUCCAGAGAUGGGCGCCCCCCUUGUGUCGGUGUACAGGUGGUGCAUGCCUGUCGUCAG
rnacentral:rRNA from 1 species